CCUACGGGAGGCAGCAGUGAGGAAUAUUGGUCAAUGGGCGCGAGCCUGAACCAGCCAAGUAGCGUGAAGGAUGACUGCCCUACGGGUUGUAAACUUCUUUUAUAAAGGAAUAAAGUGCGGCACGUGUGCCUUUUUGUAUGUACUUUAUGAAUAAGGCUCGGCUAACUCCGUGCCAGCAGCCGCGGUAAUACGGUGGGUCCGAGCGUUAUCCGGAUGUAUUGGGUUUAAAGGGAGCGUAGAUGGGUUGUUAAGUCAGUUGUGAAAGGUUGCGGCUCAACCGUAAAAUUGCAAUUGAUACUGGCAGUCUUGAGUACAGUUGAGGUAGGCGGAAUUCGUGGUGUAGCGGUUAAAUGCUGAGAUAUCACGAAGAACUCCGAUUGCGAAGGCAGCUUACUAAACUGCCACUGACAUUGAUGGUCGAAAGUGUGGGUAUCAAACAGGAUUAGAUACCCCUGUAGUC
rnacentral:rRNA from 1 species